rnacentral:rRNA from 1 species
AAACUUUCAACAACGGAUCUCUUGGUUCCGGCAUCGAUGAAGAACGCAGCGAAAUGCGAUACGUAAUGUGAAUUGCAGAAUUCAGUGAAUCAUCGAGUCUUUGAACGCACAUUGCGCCCCCUGGUAUUCCGGGGGGGGCAUGCCUGUCC